rnacentral:rRNA from 1 species
AACGAACGCUGGCGGCGUGCUUAACACAUGCAAGUCGAACGCGAAAGUAGACUUCGGUCUGCGAGUAGAGUGGCGCACGGGUGAGUAACGCGUAAGUAAUCUACCCUUCUAUCUGGGAUAACAGUGGGAAACUGCUGCUAAUACCGGAUACGGUCUUAUUGUCGCAGGGCAUAAAGAAGAAAGGUGGCCUCUCCUUGGAAGCUACCGUAGAGGGACGAGCUUGCGUACCAUUAGCUUGUUGGUGGGGUAACGGCCUACCAAGGCUGCGAUGGUUAGCGGGUCUGAGAGGAUGAUCCGCCACACUGGAACUGAAACACGGACCAGACUCCUACGGGAGGCAGCAGUGAGGAAUAUUGCGCAAUGGGGGAAACCCUGACGCAGCGACGCCGCGUGAGUGAAGAAGGAUUUCGGUUCGUAAAGCUCUGUCAAGUGGGAAGAAAUGCUAUAAAGUUAAUACCUUUAUAGUUUGACGGUACCACUAAAGGAAGCACCGGCUAACUCCGUGCCAGCAGCCGCGGUAAUACGGAGGGUGCAAGCGUUGUUCGGAAUUACUGGGCGUAAAGGGCGCGUAGGCGGCCUAUUAAGUCAGGUGUGAAAGCCCACGGCUCAACCGUGGAUUGUCAUCUGAAACUGGUAGGCUUGAGUAUCGGAGAGGAUAGUGGAAUUCCCGGUGUAGAGGUGAAAUUCGUAGAUAUCGGGAGGAACACCAGUAGCGAAGGCGACUAUCUGGACGAAUACUGACGCUGAGGCGCGAAAGCGUGGGGAGCAAACAGGAUUAGAUACCCUGNNAGUCCACAGCUGUAAACGAUGUGCACUNNUGUAGGGGGGUGUUGACCCCUUCUGCGCCGCAGCUAACGCAUUAAGUGCACCGCCUGGGGAGUACGGUCGCAAGANUNAAACUCAAANGNAAUUGACGGGGGCCCGCACNAGCNG